AACGAACGCUGGCGGCAGGCUUAACACAUGCAAGUCGAACGCCCCGCAAGGGGAGUGGCAGACGGGUGAGUAACGCGUGGGAACGUGCCCUUCGCUUCGGAAUAGCCCCGGGAAACUGGGAGUAAUACCGGAUACGCCGUAUUGGGAAAGAUUUAUCGGCGAAGGAUCGGCCCGCGUUGGAUUAGCUAGUUGGAGGUGUAAUGGACCCCCAAGGCUACGAUCCAUAGCUGGUCUGAGAGGAUGAUCAGCCACACUGGGACUGAGACACGGCCCAGACUCCUACGGGAGGCAGCAGUGGGGAAUCUUGGACAAUGGGCGCAAGCCUGAUCCAGCCAUGCCGCGUGAGUGAAGAAGGCCUUAGGGUUGUAAAACUCUUUCGCCGGAGAAGAUAAUGGCGGUAUCCGGAGAAGAAGCCCCGGCUAACUUCGUGCCAGCCGCCGCGGUAACAC
rnacentral:rRNA from 1 species